AUUGAACGCUGGCGGCAUGCUUUACACAUGCAAGUCGAACGGCAGCGCGGGCUUCGGCCUGGCGGCGAGUGGCGAACGGGUGAGUAAUACAUCGGAACGUGCCCAGUAGUGGGGGAUAGCUCGGCGAAAGCCGGAUUAAUACCGCAUACGACCUGAGGGUGAAAACGGGGGAUCUUCGGACCUCGCGCUAUUGGAGCGGCCGAUGGCAGAUUAGCUAGUUGGUGGGGUAAAGGCCUACCAAGGCGACGAUCUGUAGCUGGUCUGAGAGGACGACCAGCCACACUGGGACUGAGACACGGCCCAGACUCCUACGGGAGGCAGCAGUGGGGAAUUUUGGACAAUGGGCGAAAGCCUGAUCCAGCAAUGCCGCGUGUGUGAUGAAGGCCUUCGGGUUGUAAAGCACUUUUGGCGGGAACGAAAAGGACUGUGCCAAUACCACGGUUCGAUGACGGUACCCGCAGAAUAAGCACCGGCUAACUACGUG
rnacentral:rRNA from 1 species